ensembl:lncRNA
AGACGCUGCCCGCUCCUCCCUUUUACCGGGUGGCGGAGGGCAUCUGAUCCUAAGCUCCUUGUGUUCAGAGAGACUCUCUUGCCAUACUCUUCAGUCAUUUCCUACUGGAAUACCCUGAAAGGAAUGAUGCGGAAAUGAGAUUGGGAUUGUGGAGAUGGGGUUUUUUUUUGAAGCCCUAUCCACAAACUGCUAAAGGACCUAGAAAGUGAAGAAAGCAAUUCCCAUGACCAGGAACAGAGAAACGGAUACCCCAGAGGGUGAUGGUAUUUGGAGUAACACACUCUGAUUUCAAAGAAAUGCUGACAUGUGGAAGAUUAGCAUGAAGAUUUUGGUCACACUGCGCAUAUAGGGCAUUGUGACCUGACCUACCUGGAUGGCUGCAAGAAUAAAGGAUUCUGACACCAAGAAGUUUGCAACAACUAACCAGGUCCCUUGCUCACCUUGCCUAAUAUUGACAGAUGUCAUCUUAAACUCUCCUGGAAUAAGGAAGAAAAUAAAUAAACUCAUUCACAGAUACAGAUCUUACUGAACUUAAAAGAAUUUCAGGCAAGAGGCCAAUUGGAAUUUGGAUUGGAAUUGUCAGUAUGUCCUUGAUAAUGUUAAUAGCUAACAUUUAUUGAGCUCUUACUAGAUGCCAGAUACUGUUCUAAAUGCCGUAUCAUGUUAACUCAUUUAGUCCACUUAAAAAUGAGUAUCCCUAUUUUAUAAAUGAAGAAACUGUGGCUUAGGGUGGCUAUGUAACCUGGUUAAGUAUGCCUCCCUGACAAGUAGUAGAGCCUGGAUUCUACUAAGUGGUAUGCCUAUUUUCAGGCUAGUAACAGUCAUCAUCUACUGCCAGAUUUUGAAACUGCGUUUCUCUGCACUUCUAUGAUGUAUAUUUUUAGUCAAGCAAUUGGUACUUUAUACUGGGUUUGAAGAUUUAGUGCAAUAUCCCUCGGCACAGAGAUUCUGUCAAUUUAAUUUUAACUCUUAAGUUUUCAGGGCCUAGAACAGUGACUGGUGCAUAAUAGAUGCACAGUGUAAUAUUUGUUUAAUAACAAACUACUCACUAUAUAAUGAUGUUUUCUAAGCAUGAGGUAGAAUAGCUGGGCUCUAAUCCUGACCUUGUAAUUCACUGAAAUGCAGCCCUGGAUAAGUCACUUCAUCUCUUUAACCCUCAGUUUUCUUAUCUGUAAAACAAAAGGAAACCAAAAUUCUUCUUUCCUAAGAUUUAAGUGAGAUAAUGUAGAUAAUAGGGAUUUAGUAUUCUAGGGAUUAAAUGAGACAAUACUUAUAAUCACUUGUCACAAGGAAAACAGUUUGGUAAUUUCCUAACAUACACUUACCAGGUCGCCUAAUGGUCCCAUUUUUGUAUGUUUAUGAAAGAGAAAUGAAAACAUGUUACCAUAAAGACCUAAGCUGAAUAACUGCUUUAUUCAUAAUCAAAAAAACUGGAAAUAACCCUAAAGUGAAUCAACAGGUGAAAAGAUAGAGAAAUUAUGGUAUAAUAGAAUAUUUCUCAUCAAUAAAAGGAGCAAACUAUUGAUAUAUGCAACAAUAUGGAUCACACACAAAACCAUUAUGCUGAAACAAGAAUUCAGACAGAAAAGUUUAGUAAGUUGCAGUCCAGUAUGGAAAGUUAUAAACCAACAGGUAUAGAAAUCAGAUGACCAUUGGUAGCAGGGUCUAAAGCUUGGGUUAGGGGAGAGAAUUAAUUGCAAAUGGGCAGAAGGGAAUUCUUUGGUGUGAUAGAAAUAUUUUAUAUCUUAAUUUUAGUGGUAGUAACAUGAUGAUAUACAUUUGUCAGAACUCAGAACUCUAUACCCAAACAGGUUGAAUAGUACCCUAUAUAAAUUAAACCUCAACAAACCUAAUGUUAACAAAUAAUAUUUAGAAAUGUCCCUGGUAUAUAAGUAUAUUAAAUUGCUAUAUGUUUUCAUUUUUCUUUUAUAUUUGAUCUUUCCUUUUUAAAAAUAAAAUACAAGGACUGGGUCUAAAUUAGAGUAAAACUGCUUUAUUAACUGAGUGGCUAUUAAAAUAAUGCUCUUUAAGACUCUGAGCACAGUACACUCAAAAAAACAACUGCAAAUUUACUUUUGGCUUGAUUUCUUGUGAGUUUGUGGCUUCCUUCCAGAAGUCUUCACCUUACUGAAUAGUCUUAAUUGCCUGAGUUUUAUCUUCAAAUGAUGAAGAUGACUGUUUUCUUAGACUAUGUACUGCAUUGACAUUGUUCAGAAAAUCCAUCUUAAUAAUUUUCCAUUGAAAUACACCCCUCUGUAUUCUGCACUUACUGCCAAUGAGAUUUUUGGGGAUGAAUCCUCACCUGUCUUCCAGCCCUCCUGUUUCAGUCAGGGAUUUGGGGAUCCACCAAGAGAGUGUGUAGUACUGUGGGGCUCCCAACAUGAUAGAACCAUCAUCACUGCUAGGUUUGAAGGGAAGGGAGAGAGAGUGGUUCCUGGAACUCAGGACAGCAUAAGGAGAAAGCAGCCUCAUUAGAGGGGAUCUUUGGAAGAAUUUCAUAGCCAAGCCACAGCAGCCCAACAAGAAGGCAACUAGGGAAGAAAUACGUGACCUCAUAUUCCUUCCCUCCAAAGUCCUGCUGGUGACUUCCAUUGCCAGAGGAAGGAGAACCUGCUGGUAGAAGCCAUAGAGCUCAUUAUCCUAGACACGGGGUGAAUAUGACUGGAGAAUGGAUCUGGAGGAGCAGCUGGAAGAUAGCCAGUAUGCCACCCUCCAAUAUUCAGAACCAGAAAAUUCCUCUUCUCCUGAGCAUCCUCUCUUUUGCAGAUUAAUUUCCCCUACUCUUCUUGUUUUGCAUGCUUUCAAUAUUUCUCAGUCUCCUGCUAUUUAUCUGUUGUCAGAUCCCUUUGUCAGUCUGGAAAUGCAACUCUCUUAUGUAGGAGGCCUAGUUUAAGGUCUUCAAAUGGCCUGAACCAAAGUUUAGGUGGAUCUAGAAGGGUGUAUGAAGCUGACCUAUGGCUGGAGCAGACGAGUUGGUCCCUGGAAAGAGGCACAAGUCUGAGAAGAGGGUGAGUAGGACCAAAGUAGAAAUCUAUGGUGUUGAGAUAAAUUGGGGAUUCUGGGGAAGUGAGGAACAGUUUGUCAUAGUGGAAAAACUUGGGAACUUGAAGUAAAUCAUCUGGGCUUUUUUCUGGCAUCAGCAAAGAUGUACUGUGUGACUUUGUACAAUUUAUCUUAACCCAGUGGACUUUGGCUUCCUUAUUAUAAAAGGAGAUGCUCUGUAGGAGGAUAGCAAAAGUUUGGGUACAAAAGCCAGUCUGCCUGGAUUUGAAUCCUGACUUACUAGAUUUUGUGCAAGUUACUUAACUUCUCUGAAUCUAAGUUGUCAUAAAGGGUCUUGGUAUAUAUAAAAGUAUUUAAUAAAAGUGAAUUAUUAAUAUGCCAGGCCUAGAGGUCAAUUGUAGUCAUAUUAAUCCUGCAAAUAAUCACUAGCACCAUAAAUUAGAUAAUAAAUGCUGAUUUAAUAAGUAUUUGGUAAAUUAUCCUUAGGUUUUGGGCUAUGAACUGUCACUUGCUUUAUUAAUAAUGUAUAGGGUAUUUCUUACAAAUAGGAUAAAAAUCUUCAAAUAUUUAUGUGCUUAGUAAUGGGAGUUUCUUAUCUGAUAAAAGGAUCAUUUUUAAUAUAAGGAAAAUUAUUUUCAAUUGUCAGUGUUUGAAUGUCAUUUUGUGACAAUUCUAUGAUAUCUCCAUUAGCAGCGAAAUAUUUCAUUUUUAUAAUGACAUAAAAUAUUUCCAAAUGACUUGCCAUUUGUCUCAUAUGUAUUUACAGUAGAAAAAGUUGUAUGUAUUACAGAACCUAUUUUUCUAAAUGAGAUUCUAAAGAGCUAUAUGGAUAAAGUCAAGAAUACAUGUUUAUGACCUCCAUUUUAGGACUUUGUUUCCCCUCAGAAUAAGGGUCUAGGAAGAUGUAUAAAUUAUGUUCUUAAAAUGUCUUAUGGUUCAUUUUAUAUGUUUUGAUUUUCAUUUUAGUUCUACUCAAUUAAUUAUUAACAAAGUUUGUUAAUUAUUACUUACUAAAAUCUUUAAAAUUAUUAUUAAUCAUGUUAAUUAAUUUUAAGUGACAUAAGGUUGUUGAACUAUUUCCUCUGUUUUCUAAAUGGAAUAAUGAAUUAAAUUCUAUUUCAC